rnacentral:lncRNA from 1 species
UCCUUUUUACAAAUGUAUAUUAAAAUAUAUUAAAUAUUUCCAAAUUUCAAACCAUAAUGGCCACAUAAAUACUACAAAAUUUGAGUUGUGGGAUGGGUUUUUUUGAGCGCUACCAAAAAAGCACACAGGGCAGAGAUCAUUAUUUGAUUUUUUUAAAAAAGCUGUUUAAGAGCAACUAUUACAUUUGAAGGAUUAGAAGGCAUUACCGCUAACUCUGUUUAUAGUGUUUUGCCUUGUGAAACUGAUUUAAGAUUUUGGUUCCAGACAUUUUAUAGUUCAGUCUCUGGGAUUUAAUCUCAAUAAUGUGUUACACUUGCUAUUGUCCCAGUGAAUUUGUUGACAGACAGUAAUUGGGUCACUGCAUUGAAAUACCAAGUGUAGGCUUAGAAUUCUCUUUGCUGGUUGGCAUGACAACCAUAGUGGUCGAUUAAACAUGCGCAGAGAGGAGUCAGCAGCCUGUGGUUCUCAGAUACUGCAAAAGAGAGGGUAGAAAUGUUAAAGAAUGUUCCUUUAAAGAAUACAUAGGCAGAGAAUUCCAGUAGCAUCUGUUGUUUGUUAAAAAAAAAAGGGGCGGGGGGGGGGAGAUUGUGCAAACUGAAACGAGACAGAAAGACAAUUAAAGCCUGACUAUGUUUCAUUGAAUCUGAAACUUAAAGCACCCCCCAAUGAAUAAUAAAUCAUCGCAAAAAGAAAAUUAAAAUCAUUUGACAAAGUCAAUGUCUGCAGGGGAAAGAAAAGAUAAUUUCUUAUGCUCUGCUGAGUGCAGUUCAAAACCAAGUUAUGAAACAAACAGAAAUGACCAAUCUCCAUGCAGAUCAACUCCACUGCAUGUAGAUGUCAUUGGGUCAGUAUGUUUACACCGAUGUGAAUUGUUUGCAAUGCACUUCAAAGGUAAUAUUGCCUUCGUAGCAGUUAGAAUACCACAUCUACACUUACUGCAGUGUCUAGUGAGGUGUCCAGUGUGGCAUUUGCUGCAACGUCUUUGGAUCAGUUUUGCCUGAGGCGGCCUGAUGUCAUAGGCAGGGUCCUUGUGACAACAUGGCCAGCCAUGUAUCUCCCCAAGUGGGUCUAGGAUCAAUGCAUUUUUGUGGGCGGUGAUCCAGUCACUCCCAUUGGUAUGUGACAACUACCACCUGGUCACAAUUAACCCUCCCCCUUUAGGGAAAGUGAUUUAAGAGGCUAUCAGGAGAAGGCCAGGGUGAAUAUGAUCCUGUUAUUCUUACAUGAUAUCUCAACAGCUUUUUAGGAUGGGUAUUGGUGAAGGCAUUGUUUCCCAGUGGUUCUGAUCCUAUUUCCAGGUUAGGUUCCAGAGAAUAGAAUUGGGUGAUUGUCUCCUUAUCAGUGGGGUGCCUUAGAGUACCAUCUUGUCCCCAAUGCCAUUUGACAUCUACACAAAGCCAUUGAGAACAGUCAUUAAGAGAUUUGGGGUGAGGUCAUCAAUACACUGAUGAUGCCCAGCUCUACUUCUCUGUAGCAUCUGAAUUGGGAUAGGCCAUGUAGGCACUAGACUUGGACCUGAAGUUGGUGGUGGGCGGGAAGAGGGCCAAUAAACUGACUCUGAAUCCUGACAAGAUGGCGAUUCUGUGGGGUAGAUGGUUCCCAAGUCUUGAUAAUUGGUCAAUUGCCUGCUUUGGAUGGGGCUGUACCCCCUCUGAAAGAGCAGGUUUGUAGUCCGGGGGUGUUCCUUGACCCAUCUUUGUCUCUGGAAUAUCAGGUGACUUCAGCAACUUGGAGUGUCUUCUAUCAGCUUAGGCUGGUAUGAGAAUUACAGGCAUUUAUGGACCUGGAUCACCUGACCACUGUUAUCCAUGCACAGGUAGCCUGAAGGCUGAAUGACUGCAAUGCACUCUAUGUCCUUGAGGUUGGUUUGGAAGCUGCAGCAGGUGCAAAAUGUAGCAGCUCAGCUGCUUCCUGGGGAAGUAUAUUGCUAACACUUCACCUCCCUGUUGAAAUAAUUGUGUUGGCUGCCAGUUAGCUACCAGGCUAAGGGGCUGUUUUUUGGUGCAUGCAGUUUGGGACCAGGAUACCCGAAAGAUUGUUUCACCCCUUAUGUACCCAGUCAAUCUCUGGGAAGGUGUGGGCCUCUUCUCAUGAUUUCUGUUUUGUACAAUACGGAAUUGGGGGCCUUUAGUGUUCUACACACAAACACCCCGUGUGUUAUAAAAAAGAGCACUCUGUUUUUCAGAGGUAGGCAUUGUAUCAGACAAGACUCAGGGACAGGCACAAGCAACUUGAUAUCUUGCUUGGGAUAGCCACAUUAUAAGGGGCAUCAGUAAAACAUGCAGUCAGAGAUGCAUAUUAGAAUCCUUUGCGGUGUCAGAGAAAAUGCCAAGCAUACCUUGCCUCUGCAACAUAUCUAGUGGUAAUGGGACACACCUUGGAUUCCUUAACACAACUGGUUGGGGCAGCCCCAUGGUUUUCAUAGAAUCAUAGAGUUGGAAGAGACCACAAGGGCCAUCGAGUCCAACCCCCUGCCAAGCAGGAAACACCAUCAGAGCACUCCUGACAUAUGGUUGUCAAGCCUCUGCUUAAAGACCUUCAAAGAAGGAGACUCCACCACACUCCUUGGCAGCAAAUUCCACUGUCGAACAGCUCUUACUGUCAGGAAGUUCUUCCUAAUGUUUAGGUGGAAUCUUCUUUCUUGUAGUUUGGAUCCAUUGCUCCGUGUCCGCUUCUCUGGAGCAGCAGAAAACAACCUUUCUCCCUCCUCUAUGUGACAUCCUUUUAUAUAUUUGAACAUGGCUAUCAUAUCACCCCUUAACCUCCUCUUCUCCAGGCUAAACAUGCCCAGCUCCCUUAGCCGUUCCUCAUAAGGCAUCUUUUCCAGGCCUUUGACCAUUUUGGUUGCCCUCCUCUGGACACGUUCCAGUUUGUCAGUGUCCUUCUUGAACUGUGGUGCCCAGAACUGGACACAGUACUCCAGGUGAGGUCUGACCAGAGCAGAAUACAGUGGCACUAUUACUUCCCUUGAUCUAGACGCUAUACUCCUAUUGAUGCAGCCCAGAAUUGCAUUGGCUUUUUUAGCUGCCACGUCACACUGUUGGCUCAUGUCAAGUUUGUGGUCAACCAAGACUCCUAGAUCCUUUUCACAUGUACUGCUCUCAAGCCAGGUGUCACCCAUCUUGUAUUUGUGCCUCUCAUUUUUUUUGCCCAAGUGCAAGACUUUACAUUUCUCCCUGUUAAAAUUCAUCUUGUUUGUUUUGUUUUGGGACAACCCUGACUAGAAUCAUGGGAGCUAAUGUGGUGUAGUGCUUAGAGUAAGGUUACCAGAUGUCCCUGUUUCCUGGGGACAGUCCCCGGCUUUACAAAUAAAUCCCCUGACAAAAUCCAUCUAUUUAGUAGGAAGUUGAAAAGUGUUCCUGGAUUCAUUGAAAAAAAUCUGGUAACCUUAGCUUAGAGAGCUGUACUGGGACCUGGGAUACCAGUGUUCACAUCCCCAUUGGCCAUGAAGUUCAGUGGGUGAUAACAUGACAAAGGGGAAAACCAUUUAUGUCACCUCGAGCUCCUUUGAGGAAAAUGUAAUAACAACUAACUAAAACAAAUUUCUAGUAUGUUAGGUUUCUUUCUUCACUGGUCAUGUAUGAAAACAGGUCUAUCAUUUCCUUAGUUAUUUAAAAAUGUAAAUGUACUUGGGUUUUUGCAAUAAGUAUACAGAGGAGAAAUAACAAAUGGUUUUGUAUCUCUCAUUCAAGCAUCAUGAUGUCAUAGUUUAAUCUAUCUGCCUGUGGAUUGGCUCACGCUGAUGGAAGCAGACAACAGUGCUAACAAAUGAGUUAAAUUGCUAUUAUGGGUCUUUAAUAAAAAGAAACCAUGUGGUUAAUGAGAGAACUGGCUCUUUUCAGAUUAGCUAUUUACCUCUGUUGUUAACAUUGUAAGAUAAUAUAAUAAAUGUAGCACGUUGCACCUUGUAUACAGUGAUUUGGUGCCUAUUUUGGUUCAGCAACUGAUAGUGUAGCAGAGUAAAGAUGCAAGACUAGCUCAUGGGACCGCUACUUAUCUGCAUAGUUUGCAACAACAUAAACCAAUAUGAGUGCAGAUGAAAGUUUUUAUGUAGAAUAAAAUGGAAAUCUGUGAACAGGCAGAAGAUCUCUGUGCCAGUCUUUCCCCUACUCCAAAACAAACAAGCAACACAAUGUGAGUAUAAGAUACUGCAGUUAAUUAAAUUGUUAAAUGUGACCUCUUCUGCUUUGAAUAGUGUGUGCGGAUAAGGAAAUUUGGCCAUAUGCUGGUGGUUACAUGUACACCCUGAGGUCAUUCCUUGGUAUGAAUUGUUAGUAACUCAAGUAAUCUGAGCUGACUUCUAUAUUGACACGAAGUGGUGUAAUUCAGACCAGACUCACAAAUUUGUUACAUUGUGGGGAUUAUUAUGUAUUGUAUCCCCUGCAGAAUUUUGCAGUAAACUGCAAAUAAUGCUUAAAAUAAAGAAUGUUUCCCAAUAUAUUGAGGAAACACAAAAUGGUCUUGCAGAAAUCUCAUUUAAAUAGCAACAGUAAUUUGAACCUAUUUUAUAUAUGCACUGCAUCCACAGGAUCUAGUUUGCUUAGAAGUACUCUUGAGAUUUGCUUUGUAAUUUAAGAGGUCAUUUUACAAAUGCUUCAAAACACAGCAUUGUUCAUUUAUCUUCCAUGUGUUGCUUUUUCAGUUAGCAAAGAGUAUCAGUGAGCAAGAAGAAGAAAUGCUAUAUCAAUAUGUUUGUGCCUAUACUGUUCUACCAUUUUGAUGUUCUCUUAUAUUAUAAUGUCCAUGCAGUAGCAUAAAGGGGUUGACUUGAAACCAGACUACUUGGUAUUCCAGUGGUGUUUACCAUUAGAUUGCAGCUUUGAAUGGAGUUUUACCAGAAUAUAGUUUCAGACAUAUUUUUAUUAAAUAUUAUUAGGAAAAAACAUUUUGCAUAUCUGACAUCAGGCUCGAAUCUUGCUUUUGAUUUAAAUGAAAAGUUACUGAGUUAGUCUGGUUAUUUUAAAGUGUUGUAAACUUAUUUUUUUUUUAAAUGAUAUUUAUUGAAAGUUUUAAGAUUAC